rnacentral:rRNA from 1 species
AACGCUAGCUACAGGCUUAACACAUGCAAGUCGAGGGGAAACGACAUCGAAAGCUUGCUUUUGAUGGGCGUCGACCGGCGCACGGGUGAGUAACGCGUAUCCAACCCGCCCACCACUUGGGGAUAACCUUGCGAAAGUAAGACUAAUACCCAAUGAUAUCUCUAGAAGACAUCUGAAGGAGAUUAAAGAUUUAUCGGUGAUGGAUGGGGAUGCGUCUGAUUAGCUUGUUGGCGGGGUAACGGCCCACCAAGGCGACGAUCAGUAGGGGUUCUGAGAGGAAGGUCCCCCACAUUGGAACUGAGACACGGUCCAAACUCCUACGGGAGGCAGCAGUGAGGAAUAUUGGUCAAUGGACGAGAGUCUGAACCAGCCAAGUAGCGUGCAGGAUGACGGCCCUAUGGGUUGUAAACUGCUUUUAUAAGGGAAUAAAGUGAGUCUCGUGAGACUUUUUGCAUGUACCUUAUGAAUAAGGACCGGCUAAUUCCGUGCCAGCAGCCGCGGUAAUACGGAAGGUCCGGGCGUUAUCCGGAUUUAUUGGGUUUAAAGGGAGCGUAGGCCGGAGAUUAAGCGUGUUGUGAAAUGUAGACGCUCAACGUCUGCACUGCAGCGCGAACUGGUUUCCUUGAGUACGCACAAAGUGGGCGGAAUUCGUGGUGUAGCGGUGAAAUGCUUAGAUAUCACGAAGAACUCCGAUUG